rnacentral:miRNA from 12 species
GGGGGGGGGGGGGGGGGGGGGGGGGGGGGGGGGGGGGGGCUUAGCCCCACCCACACAAUGACCACACCCAUCCCA